AUUGAAUGCUGGCGGCAGGCCUAACACAUGCAAGUCGAGCGAGCGGCGGACGGGUGCGUAAUGUCUGGGAAACUGCCUGAUGGAGGGGGAUAACUACUGGAAACGGUAGCUAAUACCGCAUACCAUCAGAUGUGCCCAGAUGGGAUUAGCUAGUAGGUGGGGUAACGGCUCACCUAGGCGACGAUCCCUAGCUGGUCUGAGAGGAGGACCAGCAACACUGGAACGGAGACACGGGCCAGAGUCCUACGGGAGGAAGCAGUGGGGAAUAUGGCACAAUGGGCGCAAGCCUGAUGCAGCCAUGCGGCGUGUGUGAAGAAGGCCGUCGGGUUGUAAAGCACGUUCAGCGGGGAGGCGUUACCCGCAGAAGAAGCACCGGCUAACUCCGUGCCAGCAGCCGCGGUAAUUC
rnacentral:rRNA from 1 species